rnacentral:rRNA from 1 species
CCUACGGGAGGCAGCAGUGAGGAAUAUUGGUCAAUGGGCGUAAGCCUGAACCAGCCAAGUCGCGUGAGGGAUGAAGGUUCUAUGGAUCGUAAACCUCUUUUAUAAGGGAAUAAAGUGCGGGACGUGUCCCGUUUUGUAUGUACCUUAUGAAUAAGGAUCGGCUAACUCCGUGCCAGCAGCCGCGGUAAUACGGAGGAACCGAGCGUUAUCCGGAUUUAUUGGGUUUAAAGGGUGCGUAGGCGGCCUUUUAAGUCAGCGGGGAAAGUUUGGGGCUCAACCAUAGAAUUGCCGUUGAAACUGGGAGGCUUGAGUAUGUUUGAGGCAGGCGGAAUGCGUGGUGUAGCGGUGAAAUGCUUAGAUAUCACGCAGAACCCCGAUUGCGAAGGCAGCCUGCCAAGCCAUGACUGACGCUGAUGCACGAAAGCGUGGGGAUCAAACAGGAUUAGAUACCCUUGUAGUC